rnacentral:rRNA from 1 species
AUUGAACGCUGGCGGCAGGCCUAACACAUGCAAGUCGAACGAGUGGCGGACGGGUGAGUAAUGUCUGGGAAACUGCCUGAGGGAGGGGGAUAACUACUGGACACGGUCGCUAAUACCGCAUACAAGCAGAUGUGCCGGGAUGGGUUUAUCUAGUUGGGGGGGUAACGGCUCACCAAGGCGACGAUCCCUAGCUGGUCUGAGAGGAUGACCAGUCACACUGGAACUGAGACACGGUCCAGACUCCUACGGGAGGCAGCAGUGGGGAAUAUUGCACAAUGGGCGCAAGCCUGAUGCAGCCAUGCCGCGUGUAUGAAGAAGGCCGUCGGGUUGUAAAGUACUUUCAGUGGGGAGGCGUUACCCACAGAAGAAGCACCGGCUAACUCCGUGCCAGCCGCCGCGGUAAUUC